rnacentral:rRNA from 2 species
CAACUCUCAACAACGGAUAUCUUGGCUCCCGCACCGAUGAAGAACGCAGCGAAAUGCGAUACCUAGUGUGAAUUGCAGAAUCAUGUGAAUCAUCGAGUUUUUGAACGCAAAUUGCGCCCGAGGUCUAGGCCAAGGGCAUAGCUGGCUCAGCGUCGACGC